rnacentral:rRNA from 1 species
CAAUAGCGUAUAUUUAAGUUGUUGCAGUUAAAAAGCUCGUAGUCGGAUUUUGGCUGAGAACGAUCGGUCCGCCGUUAGGUGUGCACUGAUUGGUCUCAGCUUCCUGGUGAGGAGGUGUGCUUCACGGCCACCUAGUCACCGUGGUUACUUUGAAAAAAUUAGAGUGUUCAAAGCGGGCUUACGCUUGAAUAUAUUAGCAUGGAAUAACACCAUAGGACUCCUGUCCUAUUUCGUUGGUCACGGGACGGGAGUAAUGAUUAAGAGGAACAGUUGGGGGCAUUCGUAUUUCAUUGUCAGAGGUGAAAUUCUUGGAUUUAUGAAAGACGAACUUCUGCGAAAGCAUUUGCCAAGGAUGUUUUCAUUGA